rnacentral:rRNA from 1 species
UACCAGCACCCCGAGUGGUCGGGACGUUUAUUGGGCCUAAAGCAUCCGUAGCCGGUUUCUACAAGUCUUCCGUUAAAUCCAACUGCUUAACAGAUGGGCCGCGGAGGAUACUAUAAGACUAGGAGGCAGGAGAGGCAAGCGGUACUCAGUGGGUAGGGGUAAAAUCCGUUGAUCCAUUGAAGACCACCAGUGGCGAAGGCGGCUUGCCAGAAUGCGCUCGACGGUGAGGGAUGAAAGCUGGGGGAGCAAACCGG